AGAGUUUGAUCAUGGCUCAGAACGAACGCUGGCGGCAGGCUUAACACAUGCAAGUCGAACGCCCCGCAAGGGGAGUGGCAGACGGGUGAGUAACGCGUGGGAAUCUACCUAGUUCUACGGAACAACAGUUGGAAACGACUGCUAAUACCGUAUACGCCCUACGGGGGAAAGAUUUAUCGGAAUUAGAUGAGCCCGCGUAAGAUUAGCUAGUUGGUGGGGUAAUGGCCUACCAAGGCGACGAUCUUUAGCUGGUCUGAGAGGAUGAUCAGCCACACUGGGACUGAGACACGGCCCAGACUCCUACGGGAGGCAGCAGUGGGGAAUAUUGGACAAUGGGCGCAAGCCUGAUCCAGCCAUGCCGCGUGAGUGAUGAAGGCCUUAGGGUUGUAAAGCUCUUUCACCGAUGAAGAUAAUGACGGUAGUCGGAGAAGAAGCCCCGGCUAACUUCGUGCCAGCCGCCGCGGUAAUUC
rnacentral:rRNA from 1 species